GACGAACGCUGGCGGCGUGCUUAACACAUGCAAGUCGAGCGGUAAGGCCCUUUCGGGGGUACACGAGCGGCGAACGGGUGAGUAACACGUGGGUGAUCUGCCCUGCACUUCGGGAUAAGCCAGGGAAACUGGGUCUAAUACCGGAUAUGACCAAAGGCUGCAUGGCUUUUGGUGGAAAGGUUUACUGGUGCAGGAUGGGCCCGCGGCCUAUCAGCUUGUUGGUGGGGUAAUGGCCUACCAAGGCGACGACGGGUAGCCGACCUGAGAGGGUGACCGGCCACACUGGGACUGAGACACGGCCCAGACUCCUACGGGAGGCAGCAGUGGGGAAUAUUGCACAAUGGGCGAAAGCCUGAUGCAGCGACGCCGCGUGAGGGAUGACGGCCUUCGGGUUGUAAACCUCUUUCAGCAGGGACGAAGCGAAAGUGACGGUACCUGCAGAAGAAGCACCGGCCAACUACGUGCCAGCAGCCGCGGUAAAAC
rnacentral:rRNA from 1 species